rnacentral:sRNA from 1 species
CCCGCUUCCUGGCUUGGAAAGGUUGAAGAAGCAAUGACAGGUGUCCUGGGGCUCGAAUGACUGGCCGAGGCGGCAGAAGCUGGCCGGGUCGUCGUAGAGCUCUCUAGAACGCAGUAGCAGCGCUCACUCAGUCUGAAAACAACACCGGUGAACCACCAAGGACAGUCGGUUCUGAAUUCUUCCUCUAAGACGGAUGCCAGGUGGCGGUUGAAGGAGUCGUUUCUGCAGUGAAAGGGAAAUAAGAUUACAGCCCAGGAUGACAUCCCAUCCUUCCUGAUGCACAUAACUAAAGCAAACAAACAGACCGUGCUUUAAGACGUGUGGCCCCUGUGGCCAGAUUACAUAGUAGCUUGGGUUCUGAGAGUUCGGUGGCCCAGAGCAA